GCUCCGGUGGUCUAGUGGUUAGGGCGUCCGCCUAGGAUGCAGAAGGUCGUGGGGGUUCAAACCCCGGCCGAGUCA